GUGAUGAAAAAGUGAUGCGAGUAGAAAAUGAGUGUACAGUACAUGAUCUGUCAACACAGCACCUCAGAAUGUCAUGAGUGAAGGUUGUGAUGUCACACGGCACCGCAGUGACGUUGGGGUGGAUUUACUACCAGUGUGUGUGUGUGUGUGUGU